rnacentral:rRNA from 1 species
AGAUGGCGACCGGCGCACGGGUGAGUAACACGUAUCCAACCUGCCGAUAACUCGGGGAUAGCCUUUCGAAAGAAAGAUUAAUACCCGAUGGCAUAAUAGAACCGCAUGGUUUGAUUAUUAAAGAAUUUCGGUUAUCGAUGGGGAUGCGUUCCAUUAGGCAGUUGGUGGGGUAACGGCCCACCAAGACUACGAUGGAUAGGGGUUCUGAGAGGAAGGUCCCCCACAUUGGAACUGAGACACGGUCCAA